rnacentral:rRNA from 1 species
GACGAACGCUGGCGGCGUGCUUAACACAUGCAAGUCGAACGGAAAGGCCCUGCUUUUGUGGGGUGCUCGAGUGGCGAACGGGUGAGUAACACGUGAGUAACCUGCCCUUGACUUUGGGAUAACUUCAGGAAACUGGGGCUAAUACCGGAUAGGAGCUCCUGCUGCAUGGUGGGGGUUGGAAAGUUUCGGCGGUUGGGGGUGGACUCGCGGCUUAUCAGCUUGUUGGUGGGGUAGUGGCUUACCAAGGCUUUGACGGGUAGCCGGCCUGAGAGGGUGACCGGCCACAUUGGGACUGAGAGACGGCCCAGAGUCCUACGGGAGGCAGCAGUGGGGAAUAUUGCACAAUGGGCGGAAGCCUGAUGCAGCAACGCCGCGUGCGGGAUGACGGCCUUCGGGUUGUAAACCGCUUUCGCCUGUGACGAAGCGUGAGUGACGGUAAUGGGUAAAGAAGCACCGGCUAACUACGUG